GACGAUCUGCGCUUCUCGACAGGAGCAACACUUCCCCGGGGCCUUACUGAUCCUUAGGGAGCUGUCCCUGUCCGGACCCGUGGGUCCGGGCACACGGCGCCCACCUACUUUGUAGGCCACCGGGAUCAACCGCGCCAUCGGUCGUCGCGGAUCGUCG
rnacentral:other from 1 species